rnacentral:lncRNA from 1 species
AAGCCGAGUAUCUUUUUAUGUUGGCUGCAAAAUGGAUCUUAAUCUGUCGAGUUUUUCUUCUGUUGGCAGGUAUCUUAUGUUAACGGCACAUGUCUUAUAUAUAUAUUUUUAGCGUUUGUCUCGUGAAGUCAGAUUUAAUUUGCUGAUUCAAUUGUUGUUUCGUUGGCCAGAGAUUAUGUUAUUUUUCUAUAGGUUUUGGUAUCGCUUUUUUGUCAUUUUUAUGUUUUAUGCUUUUGCGUCCGUUUACAAAAUCACCAAAGGACAGUGAGCGGGUGAGCGGCGCGAAGCGGAACGAACGAACCUGAACGAACGAACGAACCUGUACGAACGAACGAACCUGUACGAACGAACGAACUUAUACGAACGAACGAACUUAUACGAACGCCAACGAACGAACGUUAAAUCGGCGGUGUCAAGUUCUUGCCGGUGGCUGCAGACCUGAAACAAUCCAAAACCGUUUUUAAAUACAAUGAGUAUUGGAUCCUGAGGCUCCACCGGUAAAAGUUUUGGAUUGGUUUGGUAUCGUCUUACUCCGGAAAUUAAGAAAUCAAGUUGAAUCCAAUGUUCGUCAGUACGAAAACUGCAAGAAGAAUCAACAAGGUGGAUUAAUUCGAUUCUGAUCUGUGUGAGAGGCACAGUAAGUUCUGCAAGACCUUCAAAUCUAUCAUCCCAAAAUCUAAGGACAGUGAGCGGGUGAGCGGCGCGAAGCGGAACGAACGAACCUGAACGAACGAACGAACCUGUACGAACGAACGAACCUGUACGAACGAACGAACUUAUACGAACGAACGAACUUAUACGAACGCCAACGAACGAACGUUAAAUCGGCGGUGUCAAGUUCUUGCCGGUGGCUGCAGACCUGAAACAAUCCGUGAGUUUUCUUUGCGUUUAUGUGUUUGUGUGCUAUGUGUUUCGUUUUAUUUGGUUACUACUUCUAUCGUACUUAUAUUUGGUUACGUCUUAUAUCGCUACUGACUGUCUUUUUUAAUUGUCAUACUUAUGGACCUGUUGGUGUUUUGUUUCUUGCAGAAAACCGUUUUUAAAUACAAUGAGUAUUGGAUCCUGAGGCUCCACCGGUAAAAA